rnacentral:rRNA from 1 species
AGAGUUUGAUCCUGGCUCAGAUUGAACGCUGGCGGCAUGCCUUACACAUGCAAGUCGAACGGCAGCAUGAUCUAGCUUGCUAGAUUGAUGGCGAGUGGCGAACGGGUGAGUAAUACAUCGGAACGUGCCCUGUAGUGGGGGAUAACUAGUCGAAAGAUUAGCUAAUACCGCAUACGACCUGAGGGUGAAAGUGGGGGACCGCAAGGCCUCAUGCUAUAGGAGCGGCCGAUGUCUGAUUAGCUAGUUGGUGAGGUAAAGGCUCACCAAGGCGACGAUCAGUAGCUGGUCUGAGAGGACGAUCAGCCACACUGGGACUGAGACACGGCCCAGACUCCUACGGGAGGCAGCAGUGGGGAAUUUUGGACAAUGGGGGCAACCCUGAUCCAGCAAUGCCGCGUGUGUGAAGAAGGCCUUCGGGUUGUAAAGCACUUUUGUCCGGAAAGAAAUCGCACUUACUAAUAUUAGGUGUGGAUGACGGUACCGGAAGAAUAAGGACCGGCUAACUACGUGCCAGCAGCCGCGGUAAUACGUAGGGUCCAAGCGUUAAUCGGAAUUACUGGGCGUAAAGCGUGCGCAGGCGGUUGUGCAAGACCGAUGUGAAAUCCCCGGGCUUAACCUGGGAAUUGCAUUGGUGACUGCACGGCUAGAGUGUGUCAGAGGGGGGUAGAAUUCCACGUGUAGCAGUGAAAUGCGUAGAGAUGUGGAGGAAUACCGAUGGCGAAGGCAGCCCCCUGGGAUAACACUGACGCUCAUGCACGAAAGCGUGGGGAGCAAACAGGAUUAGAUACCCCUGUAGUCC